UGGAGAUUAGAAAUUUAAAGAGAAUUCAAAGAAGAAAUUAAGACAAAGAAAAUUAUGAGAUUCAAUUGAUCAACGAUGUAUGAAGUUAAAUCUUAUUUCUUUUUAGUGGGAUAAGAAGCCAUCUUGUAGAGUCCACAAAUCCCUUCAGACUUUCCAAUGUUUCUCUUCAUCCUAAUAAACCCUUUCUCACCCCACUUUGCUCCCCAUGAAUUCUUCACUAUAAUGUAAUCCAAACCCUUUGAUGUACCAUAUCCAACGGCUGACACACCAUGAUCUAGCUCACUUCCACAAUGUCCAUCAAACACACC
rnacentral:lncRNA from 1 species